CUUUUAUGGAGAGUUUGAUCCUGGCUCAGGACGAACGCUGGCGGCGUGCCUAAUACAUGCAAGUCGAGCGGAGUUAUUCCUUCGGGAGUGGCUUAGCGGCGGACGGGUGAGUAACACGUAGGCAACCUGCCUGGAAGACCGGGAUAACAUUCGGAAACGAAUGCUAAUACCGGAUACGCAGUCACCUCGCAUGGGGAGACUGGGAAAGACGGCGCAAGCUGUCACUUGCAGAUGGG
rnacentral:rRNA from 1 species